AGCUUUGCGCAGUGGCGGUAUCCUAGCCAAUGAGGUUUAUCUGAGGUGCGAUUAUUGCUAAUUGAAAACUUUUCCCAGUACGGCCAAAUAACUCAAAAACUCAGAAAUGAAAUCCACUCUAAAUUAAAGGAACAUUGUUUUGAAG